GUUAAGUAGGGAGCACGCUGUAGGCCUGGAGGCAGUGUGUCAUGCUGGAUUAGAAAAAGAUCUUUCCAAAGUGUUGAAAAAAAAUAGUGUUUACGCUGCACUAAACUUUGACGAUCAACACUCUUAUCCACAAACAAACAGAUGAGGAAGAGGACCCCUGAUGAGGGUCCAGCAUAUACAAGUAGAAAGUAACCAAGAGAAGUAUCUUCGCUGAAGAAAUGUCAGCUGUUAAUCCUUAGACACCUGUGAACACCAAGCAGUCUCUUGAGUCCAAGACAUCAAGUGCAUCGUCUUUAUUAUACUUCUCUGACAUAACAGUUAGAGCUAAAGAGGAAGUUCAAGUAAUUGUCUGCAUUUACCAUUAUACUGUGUAAUUUUUUGCAACAACAGUGGGAAUCAUAACUGAAGAGACAAACUGACCAACAGGAAGCUUUGGAUCUGCUGAAUAUGUAUUUUUCUAGCAUUUUAUUGUGGUGUUCACUUUUAUUUUUCUGCACAAUGAUUUGCUCUUUACAGAAAUGAAAGCUCCCAAGUAAAGAACUCACCAAAUUAUGAUGUGAAAAGACAUGUUAUUUAAAACAAUGUUUAUAUUUAGCUUAAGCUUUACUUAAAUUUUACAAUCCAAGUUUAAGUAAAUGCAUGGGUAAUUUUGCAAAAUGUGUUAAAUAUUGUAUCUACACUUAGGCUAUUGUAUAACUGUUUUUUUUUUCUGUAAUUGCAUGUUUUUGUAAAUAAAUGUAUUAUUUUGUAAACGUUCCUCCUGCCAGCUUGAUCUAGUGAGUUCUUUAAUGGAUUUUAAAAUUGCUUUCAUAAUAAUGUCAUGUUUUUAUAUUUAUGUCAUGUUAUUUAUAUUAUAAUCUACAUAAUUAAAAUGAAAGUAAUGUUUUGGCUGGAUAUUAAUUUCAAAU
ensembl:lncRNA